GAAAACAUUGGAUACUUAUAAUUAUGGAUUUUGAUAACCAAUUGUGCUAUUUCCUGGAUUCUCUUGACAAUUUUCAACCAGAUGAAAUCAAAUCUCACAUUUCUUGUGUCUUUCAACAUUUGCGCACAAAUAAUGCGAAAACUAAGGAAGUCGUGUAGAGAACUGUUAAGUGUCCUCGUCAACAAUCAAAAUCAGUAAAAUGUGGAUUCUAUGUUAUGAGGAUGAUGAAAGACUUCGUGACAAAUGAGUUUUCAAUGCGAUGGCUAACUAGUAAAUGUGGCGAGAAGAACUCUUACACAAAGGAUGAGAUCAAUGAAGUACGUGAAGAAUAGGCA